rnacentral:rRNA from 1 species
UACGAAGGGUGCAAGCGUUACUCGGAAUUACUGGGCGUAAAGCGUGCGUAGGUGGUUUGUUAAGUCUGUUGUGAAAGCCCCGGGCUCAACCUGGGAAUGGCAAUGGAUACUGGCAAGCUAGAGUGCGGUAGAGGGUAGUGGAAUUCCCGGUGUAGCGGUGAAAUGCGUAGAGAUCAGGAAGAACAUCGGUGGCGAAGGCGCUCUGCUGGACCAUAACUGACACUCAGGGACGAAAGCUAGGGGAGCGAAUGGG